CUGACCAGUGCAAUCAACAGGUCUGCACUCCUGUAGGACCUGUCCAUCGUCCUCCAGCUUGAUUUCAGCUCUUCUGCAGUGUAUCUGUGUUGUUGACUGAGACUGCUUGGGUGGCAACAAAGUUCUGCAGCUAGACAGUGGUGAUGGUUGCAACAACCUUGAGAAUUUACUUAUGUCACUGAAUUGUACACUUUAAAUUGAUUACAAUGAGGCCUGCUCUUUUCUGAAGAGGAAAUGGAGUGGGAAUGGAUUUUGGAAACCUAAACAUAUUUGGGGAGAGGAAGCUCAAUUGAAAAAAGACCUCCAUUAGAUUGCCUGUCUGCAAGCUUGUGGACCAUUAUCUUGGUAAGUGACUGAUUGGGUCUUUAAUUUAUUUUGUUUUAUAUAUGACAAGAAAUGAGGUUCUAUUUUCAUUUUUCUGCAUGUUAAUAUCUGAUUUUUUCCAGCACCCAGAUUGAAAAGACUAUCACAUAAAACAUUUAACUAUAUUUUUUCAUUUCUCUCUCUCUCCUCUGUGUGUGUGUGUGUGUGUGUGUAUCUUUGAGGGAGGUGCAUGUGGAGGCCAGAGGACAACUUUCAGGAGUCAGUUCUCUCCAUGUAUCUCCAUGUAUCCUGGGAUCAUCAGGGUUGACAAAUAGAGUGCCUUUGCCUGCUGACCCACCUUGACAGCCCAUGUGUUCAUUUUGUAUUGUGUGUUCUUAGAAACUCUGUAAAAAUUCAGUUGGCUACAGAUGCAUAGAUUUCAUUCAAGAUUUUCUUUUAAUCCAUUCCAUGCAUCUGUUUUGAUGCCACCAUAAUGUAAUUUUGGUAACUGUAGGUUUAUGGACUACCUUUACCCAGGUAGAGAGAUAUCUUCAGUUUUGUUUGAGGGAGUGGUAUGCACAUUUUAGCUUCAGCUAACAAGUUCUUUUGUCAUUUUCAUUCAUUUUAAUUGAAAUAUAAUUAAAUUGUUUUGAAUUGUUUUGUCCCUUCAACCCCUCAUAAAUUCCCUCCCUUUAACUCUCCCAUAUACCCACACUCUCAAAAUGAUAGCCUCUUCUUCACUGAUUAUUAUUACUAAUGUUGUUAUUAGUGUGUAUAUGUGCCCAUGUGUGUUCAAGCA